rnacentral:miRNA from 1 species
CAGUAUUGUCAUGGGCCAUCCUU